rnacentral:rRNA from 1 species
UACGUAGGGUGCAAGCGUUAAUCGGAAUUACUGGGCGUAAAGCGUGCGCAGGCGGUUUUGUAAGCCAGAUGUGAAAGCCCCGGGCUCAACCCGGGAAUGGCAUUUGGGACUGCAAGGCUUGAGUGCGGCAGAGGAGACUGGAAUUCCUGGUGUAGCAGUGAAAUGCGUAGAUAUCAGGAGGAAUACCGAUGGCGAAGGCAGGUCUCUGGGCUGACACUGACGCUCAUGCACGAAAGCGUGGGGAGCAAACAGG